rnacentral:lncRNA from 1 species
AUUCGUGUGUGAUUAUCAGCUGCAAAUUAAAGGUAAUUCAUUUCAUUCCAUGCUUCAAAACUCCUCUUCAGAGUUCUGUUUCUUUAAUUUAUUGUCGUUUACUUUCAAAUUGGAUGUCCAUGAACCGUGAUAAUCAUAACCUCGCUGCCAUUAUUAAGCGGCGUUGGCAGACACUUGUGCUUUUAAUUUUUGGAGUGAAGAACUCAAUCCAUUGGUAAAAAUAAAGGGUAAUUGCGCUUAAAAUACCCUAACUUUAACUUAAUAUAUGGUAUGAUUUUUUACAUGAAAUUCUGCUUUUAAAUACAUUAAUUUGAACUGUUUUGAUCUUUACACAAUUAUCAAUUUUCGAUGAUUUUAAUGUUAACGUAGCCUUAUCAUUAAUUUGAGAGUACAAUGUUAACGUAACACUAACAUUAAUUUGAGAGUAAUCGACAUCCGUAUGAAAAUCAAAACAAUUGAAAGUUUGCAUAUUAAAGAUAAAAAAAUUUAAUGAACUUGCAAAACCAAAGUUUAAUGAAAAUUUGUGUAUUUACGCACAAAGUAAGUUUUCAGAAGCCAAGUGACAUAGUAGAUUGUAGCAUAAUUCAGAGUCUUCCAACAUUUCAAUUUUUGGAGACAGUUUGAUAAUGUUCAAAAUAAUAUACUAUGAGUUAUACUUUAUUCAUAUAUAAUCAACAAGUUGCACCAAUGUCCAUUCAUCAUUGUACAAAAUGAAAUGUAAGAAACCAGAUUAACGGAGCAUACCAGAAAAGUAAUACCUGGUAAACACCUCAAAUCGUACAGUAAAACAUCAUUCCGUUGCAGUGAUACAUAAAGUGGAGGUGAGGUGCGGCAUUCAUUCAUCGUAGGUGAGCAUAGUGAUGAGAGACUCAUACUUGGGGAAAUGAGAGACAAGCUCAGAGCGUUUUGCCAGCUCAAAAUCAUCAAACUGGAAUGCAGGCGCACAGGUGCACCCCACGAGAGAAAAGUGGCCUCGUGGUCCCUUGUGGCUCGUUUAACAGUGGCAUCAGAUGAAAUGUCAAUAUCCUUUGUAGGGAACGCACCAAACCAAACAUUUGGAGGCACCGUGUGCUGAACUACUUGAUUCUCAGCAAGUGGAUCGGGUCCGAGGCAUGUAAAUUUUAUGCUCCCAUCAUUGUCAUUGAGUUCUACCAC